rnacentral:rRNA from 12 species
AAAGGUAAGUUAAACAUUAAAAAAUUGAAAAAAAAAAUUGAAAAAAAACUUAACUUAUAGCACAUAUUGCAUUCGCAUUUGCAAAGGGGGU